rnacentral:rRNA from 1 species
UACGUAGGGGGCAAACGUUGCUCGGAAUUACUGGGCGUAAAGAGUGUGUAGGUGGUUGGGCAAGUCAAAGAUGAAAUCCCGACGCUCAACGUCGGAAUUGUUUUUGAAACUGCUUAACUUGAGGAUAGUUGAGGAGAAUGGAAUUCCCGGUGGAGCGGUGAAAUGCGUAGAUAUCGGGAGGAACACCAGAGGCGAAGGCGAUUCUCUGGGCUAUUCCUGACACUGAGACACGAAAGCUAGGGGAGCAAACGGGAUUAGAUACCCCCGUA